GAUGAACACUGGCGGCGUGCCUAAUACAUGCAAGUCGAGCGAAUGGAUUAAGAGCUUGCUCUUAUGAAGUUAGCGGCGGACGGGUGAGUAACACGUGGGUAACCUGCCCAUAAGACUGGGAUAACUCCGGGAAACCGGGGCUAAUACCGGAUAAUAUUUUGAACUGCAUGGUUCAAAAUUGAAAGGCGGCUGCGGCUGUCACUUCUGGAUGGACCCGCGUCGCAUUAGCUAGUUGGUGAGGUAACGGCUCACCAAGGCAACGAUGCGUAGCCGACCUGAGAGGGUGAUCGGCCACACUGGGACUGAGACACGGCCCAGACUCCUACGGGAGGCAGCAGUAGGGAAUCUUCCGCAAUGGACGAAAGUCUGACGGAGCAACGCCGCGUGAGUGAUGAAGGCUUUCGGGUCGUAAAACUCUGUUGUUAGGGAAGAACAAGUGCUAGUUGAAUAAGCUGGCACCUUGACGGUACCUAACCAGAAAGCCACGGCUAACUACGUGCCAGCAGCCGCCGUAA
rnacentral:rRNA from 1 species